rnacentral:rRNA from 1 species
UACGGAGGGUGCAAGCGUUAUCCGGAUUCACUGGGUUUAAAGGGUGCGUAGGUGGGCUGGUAAGUCCGUGGUGAAAUCUCCAAGCUUAACUUGGAAACUGCCGUGGAUACUAUUAGUCUUGAAUCUCGUGGAGGUAAGCGGAAUAUGUCAUGUAGCGGUGAAAUGCUUAGAUAUGACAUAGAACACCGAUAGCGAAGGCAGCUUGCUACACGAGUACUGACACUGAGGCACGAAAGCGUGGGGAUCAAACAGG